rnacentral:lncRNA from 1 species
GCGCUCAAGUUUCGCCGCCGACUACAGCGCCAUUCCAGCCCCUGGCGGGACGCCCGAGUCCGAGUGGCUCGUUGUUUUUCGCCUCGCUUCUCCGUCGUAGGCGGUCGGAUAUAACAUUCAUUGCGAUAGAGACGAUAUAAAAGCCCGGCUAGCACGAACAUCUCGUUGUUGAUCGCAGCAACAAUCUCCGAUGUUGUUGUAGUCGAUCCUUAAAAUUCUACCGCUUCCCUGAAAAGCCGUGCGAGACUCGAACGGCGCCAAGCCUGGACCACGUCGGUGCUCCGACAAAAUGGGGGCGGUUCAGUUUUGAUUCCGCCAACGUCAGCGAGGAUCUGCAACGUGCACUUCGUGAACACCUGCAAGGACAACGCUGAGGCUCAUCCUGCAACAAGUCACUAGACGAGAUGCCAGCUGAGGUGUUUAAUAAAGACUAAUUGCAGGAAACCUA